AAAACAAAAAAACGUGGCACUUGCGCUCGAAUGUCUUUCUCUUUUUAUGGUGUUUUGAUCUCUUCUCUUGUGCUAGAAGAAGACCAAAUCGAAGAUUUAAUUUUUGCGUGUCGAUAAUUUUUUUUAGUAAAAUUGUUUUAUAUUACAAUCUUUAAUUUUUUAUAUCAUUUUUUUGCUUUCUAGUUGAUAUUUUUUGGAUUUCACUUGGGAUAUUUUAAUUUUAAUGGAAGAAGAAGACUGAAAAAACAUGGAAGAAGAAGACCCCAAGUCAUCUACAAAGCUUAACAUUUUCUUUAUCUUCAACUUUAGUUUCUCGCACUGUUGCUACAAUUUUAAGGGAAACUAGUAGGAGAUAGAGUCUGCCAUUUGUUUGGUGCUGCUAUUUUUAGUUGAGUUAGCUACGGGAAACUUGGAUUUGGAUGCUCUUUUGGAGCUUAAGAAGGGAGUAUUGAAAGACCCUUCUCGGAAAGUCCUUUCUUCAUAGGAUCAAGUCAUUGGAACCAAAUGGUUGCUCCCAAAAUUGGUACGGUGUCGAUUACGGCGAUGUCCAUGUCAUUUCAAUUGAACUAAAUGAUGUAGGUUUAGUUAGACUUUUGGAUUUUGCAGUUAUUAGUUGCAAACAAUCAGUUAAGUAGGAAUAUUACUGAGGAAGUUGGGUUGAUAUGUCAUUCUCUAUUCUCCAUGAUUUCUAAUGAGAGGUCCAAUUAAGACUUUGUGAAAUCUUCUAAAAUAUUAAUGGAUCUAUCAGUGUUACAUAAAUUGUGAUAAAUGAAGUAUUUCUUCUGCAAUACAAAAUUAGGAGUUUCCUGUCACUGAAUCUGUUUGAUAUGUCUACACCUUAGUGAUAAUAUACACUUUUUGAUAAUGUAAUGUGGGAACAAUAAGUGAGAGAUGGUUAUAACAAACUUUACCAGUCAUGUUCUAAUGCAACUGAAACAAAAGAGGAAAGAUUUCACCAGACUA